AGCUCAAUUUGUAGUCUCUUCAGUUUGGGUGCAGAUAUGUCAAGAUUGAAAGCUGUUGUGUAUAUAAGCUCUCCAUCUAUAAUCAGCUCUUCAAGCACAGGUAAACGAGAAAAGAGCUUCUCCAUUGAGUCAGAAUCAGGACAACGAACUGUAACAUGAAGGAACUUGAGGCUCGGGAAACAAUUUGAACUAGUAGGAGUCAUGACCCUAAUAUUUUCAUGCAGCCACAACUUGAAAUGGACCAAUGUGCUGCACAUGAAAAGGCUUUUGGGGAUCUCAAAACAUGGGUCUGAAAGUGUGCUGACAGUAAGAUCAAGCUCCACAACAUUACGCCUAAUGGCAGUGGAAAUCCAAGCAUAAACAAGAGAAACAUCAUCCAUCCCCUUAGUGAAAAGACGGAACCUAUGAAUGUCUCCCGAGCAACGAAACAAAAGCACACGAGUCACAAACUGUGCAAACCAAUCCGGGUUAUCUUCGGGAUAUAUAUGCGUAUCAUGUUCUUCCUCAUCUAAAUCUAGAACGGGAACAGAAGCCCACACAUUCUUCCAUCUAUGAGACAAAACACUGGUCUGUACAGCCUCUCUGGUGAAAAGGAAGGAGAGAAUGUGGCAAAGAACUGCAUCUGGCAUCCCACUGAUCCUAUCUUCAGUUCUUCCUUUGUGAUGCACUAAACUUGAAGCCAUUUAUGAUGUGAACUUCUCUGGCAAAAACCCAAAUACAACAAUGUGAAUUCUGUGGCAUAAACUGAGAAAAGUUAUGAUCUUUGGAUGAUCACCCCCACCAUCAAACUGGAGACAUUGAUUUUCACUCCUAGGAAACAAUUUAACACGAAUUCCUCAGAAAAUCUAUCACCAUUGUAAAGAACAUAACUUUCUUCUUAGAAUUUGUAUUUCUUUGUCAGAAUUUUUCUAAAAGUUGAUUACUUUAACACAAACUCAUAAGAAUUAAAGUUCAUGAAUCCUAGAUGUACAAACGAGUAAAGAACUCAGAAACAUAGAGCAAGUACCUGAAGUAGUGGACCCAGUUCUCGCUUCAGUGCUCUGAACUGGUUUGCCGUGUUUGGUUGCUCAGAAACAAAGACAUACAAAGCAACAACAACAAACUUCAGUUGUUUGUGAUAACUGACUCUUGAGAUUAUGAUUCCUCGUUCUGCUUAUUACUCGGGUCUUUUUUAUGGUUUUAAGUGGUGGACCCGUAGCCCGUAGAAGCCCAUUACGGCCCAGAUCGACAUUGCCAAUAACAAGCUAUGUUCAUAAUCUCAAUCCAUCUAGGUUCCUGCUGCAAGGGUUUGUGGUGUGAUUUUUCGAGGUUGCAUAUAUGAUCGAUUUUCUCAUACUCAGUAUUCUCCUCUCUUUUAGUUCUUGUUCCUAACGAAAAACAGAGGACUAACAAAAGAGUUAAGGUAGAAAAGAUUUCGAAAACAGAAGUACCUGAAUGGUUAUGACGUAUGAGAAGUGGAGCUAAUUGGUUAAAUAAGUAGGAGCAGCCAGGGCUGAGACGGACAGAAGAAAAUAAACCACAAAAGGAAAUAGAAGAUAGCAAUACUUAAAAAUAGACAUGCACAUAAAUAAACUCAUGUUCCAUCCCAGAGAAACAUCCAUUGAAAAUGAUCGUCUUUAACCCCUUGGGAACUGACAAGUUAGAAAUCAGGAAGACCGAAAUUAAAACACUUGACAAUCUGUAUCAAAUGAUUGUCUGAAAUUCAAUCUCACAUGUCUUGGAACCCCUUGGAAACUUUGAAACAUUCGACCAUAAGGCAGUAGCAGACUGUGACUUCAUCUCUUUGUUUUCACAAAAGGGAGUAUGAAUAGUCACCCUAUUCAAAGCCUUGCCAUGCUGCACCAAGUACUUGGCGACUUCCAUGUCAUCUGGACACCCCUUGAAAUCCCAUAGGCAAAUAGUCUUGAGGUGUGAAAUCAAACAAACAGGCACCGUCUCUGGUGCAUCCCAUUCCGGUUCAACCUCAUCCUCAUCGACAUCAUCAGAAUAGUUAUUCUCCUAGAAAUGAGUUAAAAUGAAAUCUUUCUAAAUUACACAGGUAUCAUGUAAGGGUAGUUCCGGAUAUACUUACAUUGGCAUACAUAUGUUUCCUUUUCAGUAAUAUCUUCAGUUGCUCCAAAUGUGGUGAUAUCUUGAGCACAGUUGCCAGCGAUUGCAAACAUCGACAAGUAUGAAGCUGUAGCUCCAAGUAGUUCAAAUUAUUAAACGUAGGCAGAAGAUAUUGAUGUCCAAUGUCAAGGGCCUAUAGAUAUGAUGAACUAAACAGGUCAGUCAACAAAUAGCAAAACUAAACACAUCCUUGUCAUAACGUUGAUGUAGAUUCAUAUAGUUAACAUUCUAUGGGAAGUUCCAGCACAUGGAGGAAAAAAGCUAUUAACCACCACAAGAAAAGUAGCAUACUUACCGCCAACAAUGGAGCUUUUACUGUCAGGUACUUAGCAUCAUAGAUUCCUGCAAAAAUCUGAUGUAUGCGAUCAGCAAGGCCAAGGAAAUAAUCAUGCUUUUUCAGCUCUUCCACAUAAAAGAAAUCUAUCUUGGCUUUGCGUAGACAUUUGGCAUUCUUCAAAGAAAAGCUCACCAGAGGAUCAAAGCAGAUAUCUAACUCUUCAAGAUUUGGAGCAUCAACAUUAACGAAAAUUUGGCACACAUAAUUUACAAAGUUAGCAAAAUGCAUAUCAUGCUUAAAGACUCUGAGCUCAGUUUGUAGUCUCUUUAGUUUGGGUGCAGAUAUAUCAAGAUUGGAAGUUGUUGACUCUACAAAGUUUCCAUCUAUAAUCAGCUCUUCAAGCACAGGUAAACGAGAAAAGAGCUUCUCCAUUGAGUCAGAAUCAGGAAAAUGAACUGUAACAUGAAGGAACUUGAGGCUCGGGAAACAAUUUGAACUAGUAGGAAUCAUGACCCUAAUACCUCUAUGC
rnacentral:lncRNA from 1 species